CAGUCGCCGCGGGAAUACGAAGGGUGCAAGCGUUAAUCGGAAUUACUGGGCGUAAAGCGUGCGUAGGCGGUGAGUUAAGUCUGCUGUGAAAUCCCCGGGCUCAACCUGGGAAUGGCAGCGGAUACUGGCUCGCUAGAGUGUGUCAGAGGAUGGUGGAAUUCCCGGUGUAGCGGUGAAAUGCGUAGAGAUCGGGAGGAACAUCAGUGGCGAAGGCGGCCAUCUGGGACAACACUGACGCUGAGGCACGAAAGCGUGGGGAGCAAACAGGAUUAGAUACCCCAGUAGUCCCUGUCUCUUAUAC
rnacentral:rRNA from 1 species